rnacentral:rRNA from 1 species
GACGAACGCUGGUGGCGUGCCUAAUACAUGCAAGUCGAGCGCAGGAAACCGUCUGAACCCUUUGGGGGGACGACGGCGGAAUGAGCGGCGGACGGGUGAGUAACACGUAAAGAACCUGCCCACGGGUCUGGGAUAACCACGAGAAAUCGGGGCUAAUACCGGACGGGUCAUCGGACCGCAUGGUCCGAGGAUGAAAGGCGCUCCGGCGUCGCCCGUGGAUGGCUUUGCGGUGCAUUAGCUAGUUGGUGGGGUAACGGCCCACCAAGGCGACGAUGCAUAGCCGACCGGGGAGGGUGAUCGGCCACACUGGGACUGAGACACGGCCCAGACUCCUACGGGAGGCAGCAGUAGGGAAUCUUCCACAAUGGACGAAAGUCUGAUGGAGCAACGCCGCGUGAACGAUGAAGGCCCUCGGGUCGUAAAGUUCUGUUGUAAGGGAAGAACAAGUGCCGCAGGCAAUGGCGGCACCUUGACGGUACCUUGCGAGAAAGCCACGGCUAACUACGUGCCAGCAGCCGCCGUAACAC